rnacentral:lncRNA from 1 species
UCGUAGUGUGUCGAGAAGCACUUCCUCGGAGCCGUAGUAUGCUGAGGAAGUCAUGUUCAGAAUAGUAGAGACAUCCUUCCUAUGAGUCUACCGAGCAUCUGCCAAAGCCAAGUCAAGAAUCGUAGACUACACUCAGAGUCGUAGAGUCUAUUAAUGCCAAAGCUAAGUCAAAAAUCGUAGACUACACUCAAAGUCAUAGAAGUCUACUAAUCGUAUCAAGGCAGAGGUCAUAGUCGAGAAAAGAUCAGAUGAAGACAACAAGCACAACGAC